CGGCGCGGCGGCUCCGAUUCCAGCGGAGAGCGUGGCGAGCGGCGUCACUACUUUGUACCCGACACACAUGUGGGCGGUGAGCUAACGUGCUAACUGGUCGUUGACAUAAAGCGUUCGCCCGUCACCAUGGAAACAGAAGAGAGCAUCUCACAUGGUUUAAAGAAGACACAGGAUGACUUGGUGAGUUUCAUCUGUAGCUAAUCGUCUCUAUGCGAUGCUAAGCUAACGGACCUCACAGGCCCGCCCUCUCCUGGCCGCUGGUGGUACUGCAGCCUCGCGGCUCUCCAAGUGGAUCGCUUCCUCAAACUAAGACUCCGUGAUCGAAGGUCAAAGGUCACCAGGAAGUCGGAUUGGACACAAAACUGAGAGCGAAUCCGAUUAUCCUGCCAAUUCAAACUUUUUAAUUUAUUUGAGCCUUACAAAUACUGAGCCCUGUUAUGAUCCCUCCUCCUCCCCCUCCUUCCCUCGCCUCCUCGUCUUUAUCCCUCAUUCAUUUCUCCCUGCCUCCCCACUCUCUCUCUCUCUCUCUCUCUCUCUCCCCCCCUUCAUCCUCCUCUAAAGUCUGUUCUUUCUGGAUGAGCAGGUUUUAUGAGCGGAGUGAU